AACGAACGCUGGCGGCAGGCCUAACACAUGCAAGUCGAACGCCCCGCAAGGGGAGUGGCAGACGGGUGAGUAACGCGUGGGAACCUACCUUUCGGUGCGGAAUAACUUCGGGAAACCAAAGCUAAUACCGCAUACGCCCUACGGGGGAAAGAUUUAUCGCCGAUAGAUGGGCCCGCGUCGGAUUAGCUAGUUGGUGAGGUAAUGGCUCACCAAGGCUACGAUCCGUAGCUGGUCUGAGAGGAUGAUCAGCCACACUGGGACUGAGACACGGCCCCACCUCCUAAGGGAGGGCGCAGUGGGGGAUUUUGGACAAAGGGGACAAACCUUAUCCAGCCAUGCCAAGGGAGUGGAGAAGGCCUUUGGGGUGUAAAGCUCUUUUAGUGGGGACGAUAAGGGCGGUACCCACAGAAUUAGCCCCCGCUAAGUUCCGGCCAGCCGCCGCCGUUA
rnacentral:rRNA from 1 species